rnacentral:tRNA from 1 species
GCAUCGGUGGUUCAGUGGUAAAAUGCUCCCUUGCCAAGCGGGCGGCCCUUGGUUCGAUUCCCGGUCGAUGCA